rnacentral:rRNA from 1 species
CUUUACUGUAACUUGGCAUUGAAUCUCGGGCUAGUAUGUGUAGGAUAGGUGGGAGCCUUUGAAGUUCCGGCGCCAGCUGGAAUGGAGGCGUCCUUGAAAUACCACCCUUAUUAGCUUGGGCUUCUAACUUAGAGCCGUAAUCCGGCUCAAGAACAGUGUCUGGUGGGCAGUUUCACUGGGGCGGUGGCCUCCCAAAUUGUAACGGAGGCGUACAAAGGUUCCCUCAGACCGGUUGGAAAUCGGUCGUAGAGUGCAAAGGCAUAAGGGAGCUUAACUGCGAGACUUACAAGUCGAGCAGGUGCGAAAGCAGGUCUUAGUGAUCCGGUGGCACCGCAUGGAAGGACCAUCGCUCAACGGAUAAAAGGUA